AUGUAGUCAUUUCAUCCAUCUGUUAAACUCAUUCAUCCCAUCAAGUAUUUACUGGGCGUUGUGGCAGAUGACAUCAUGGCCCCUGAUUGUUCCUUCUCCUCCCUUCACUGAGAGUUCUACAUUCUUGCCUGUUUCUGUGUGACUUGCUGUGUCUCCUCAGCCAAUGGGAGGAAUGGACCUCUGUGUUUUAACCUGAGAUUCCAGAGACAGAACUUGGCUUAAUGGGAAGCUGGUAUUGGAUGAGGAGAGCCGUGGAAAUCAAUGAGAAAAAUAGGACCGUUUGAGAAGAAUCCAUUUGAAGAAGCAGUAAGAAACUCACAGCAGAAACCCCUGGUGUUGUCAGAACUGUAGAGCUGGAGAGACCAUCUGUUAGUUGCACAGGAGGGCUAAGGAGAGAUUUGAUGAGAGCUCUAUAACCAGUCAUGGACUUUGCUGGAGUUUGGAAUAGCAGGGAAAUGCUUAUGCUUUGGUGAUUUCAAGUGGUUUCACCUUAGCCUCCAGUCUUUGGGGAGGGCCACACACUGCUGUAUGUUCAUCAUCUCUAUCUCAUGGUCCUUGAUGGGUUCACAGUCUGUCACUCUUACAUGGAGUGUUUUCAGCAUGACAGCAACAGAAGCAGGAGUCCUUCCAUGGAAGCUGACAGUGGACUUCAGAGGCCAGAGAAAAUCUACAUCAUCACAAGUGUCUCCAGGACCCUGUCAAUUAACAGUGCUGGAAGCUCCACUUUUAACAAAAUUACACAUAAUCAUACUACCUGUGGCCACAAAGGAGAAUCUGAGAGGUGUGUGGAUGCUGGCUCUGAGUUUCAGAUAGAGCUACAACCAACCAAGCAGACAAGGGGAUCCAGCUGGAAUUCUAUCCUCAGAUGAACUUCUUACUUUUGCCAGUGCCAUCCUCUCCCUCAGCCCUCUCUGAGUGGUCUCAUGAGCUAUUCCCCAGGGAUGAAGACUACCAUAUACCUGGCUCCAGCCAGGUCUCUAGCUGGAGCUCUAGAUUCAUAUAUCCAGUUGCUAUCUCCACACCUCCACUUGGACCCCCAAGACACCUGGAAUCAGUAUUCUUGAGAUCAAGAGGGCCCUUGGCCACACCAGGUUUCAUAUAAUAUAUGUGGGAUGCUUCUUUUCACCUCCUACUCCCACCUAUCCACUAUCUGUCAGUGCAAGCCUCAUACUCACAGCCAGCCAUGCAGACCUUGCAGAUCAGGUCAAUUCCACCUGCCCCAUCACUGCCCACAUAGCCCUGUGCAUGCUUCUGUAGCACUUGGCCUACUCUAUGAGUGUGCAUGAGUAUUUCUCUGGAAGUCUGGCUCCCUCCUCAGCCACAGCCUCUAUAAGGCUGGAUGUGUGGUAACUAUGUUCACCAUCCUGUCCUGGGGUAGCUUUCUAGCCUUUCCAGGUUACAAGAGUAUUUGCUGAAUACAUCAGCAGAUUUUAAUUCUCUUUUUUGCAGUUCUGUCUCACUAGACAAUGUUGUGGAGAAGACAUUUUACUCUGCUGUUCAAGAAUCUUCUAGCUGUCCUAAGAAUUAAAUUGACAUAGGACAGAUUAACAGGAGAAAAUAAAAUUUAUAUUUCUACAUACUGGGAAUCCAUAUAAACAUGAGAUUUCAAAGAUAGUAGAAUGAGAUAUAUGUGUCAUCCUGAACUAAAGAGAAGAGGGUAGAGUUUGGGACUUUGAAGGGAAGGAAAACAAUUCACAGGAAGGUGAAAAAGAGUAUGUUUGGUAAACAAAAGCUUGCUGGGACCCUCAGAAACAAUGGGACACAGAGAGGAAUUUUAAUAAACAGACUUGGCUAAACUCCCUGUCUACUUCCCUAGUUAUACUAUAAUGUAAUUAUCUAUAGUAAUAGUUCCCUUCCUGUAGCAAGUCCUUUAUCUAAAUUAUUGUAGGUAGUUAGGGGGAGGGUCAAAGGUUUUGCUGAAUCUUUGGGCUUUGAUUGUUUUGAACUCUAAAUAAUCUCAUACAAAGGCAACCCAUCCUGGGAGACCCUACAUUCUGAAUUCCUGAAUAUGGGGCUUGUAGUCUAUAUUCCUAGACCAGUGCCAC